rnacentral:rRNA from 1 species
AUGGAUACAAACCCAUCGGUGACGUGUUGGAAUGUCCGAGGCUUGAACAACCCAUCCAAGAGACAAGCGGUGAAAGACUUUUUAGUGUCGGUGCGGCCUAACUUAGUGUGCUUGCAAGAAACUAAGCUCGAUGUAGUGGAUAAUUUUCUCAUAAUGCAAUGUUGUGGCCCGUCUUUAGACGGCUUUGCUUAUUUGCCGGCGGUGGACACGAGAGGUGGGAUCAUU